rnacentral:rRNA from 1 species
UACAGAGGGUGCGAGCGUUAAUCGGAAUUACUGGGCGUAAAGCGUGCGUAGACGGUUAUUUAAGUCGGGUGUGAAAGCCCCCGGGCUCAACCUGGGAAUUGCAUUCGAGACUGAAUAGCUAGGGUACGGUAGAGGGAAGUGGAAUUUCCGGUGUAGCGGUGAAAUGCGCAGAUAUCGGAAGGAACAUCAGUGGCGAAAGCGACUUCCUGGACCAGUACCGACGUUCAGGCACGAAAGCGUGGGGAGCAAACAGGA